CCUACGGGGAGCAGCAGUGGGGAAUAUUGGACAAUGGGCGAAAGCCUGAUCCAGCCAUGCCGCGUGUGUGAAGAAGGCCUUCGGGUUGUAAAGCACUUUCAGUGGGGAAGAAAGCCUUGGGGCUAAUACCCUCGAGGAAGGACAUCACCCACAGAAGAAGCACCGGCUAACUCCGUGCCAGCAGCCGCGGUAAUACGGAGGGUGCGAGCGUUAAUCGGAAUUAUUGGGCGUAAAGCGCGCGUAGGCGGUCUGAUAAGCCGGUUGUGAAAGCCCCGGGCUCAACCUGGGAACGGCAUCCGGAACUGUCAGGCUAGAGUGCAGGAGAGGAAGGUAGAAUUCCCGGUGUAGCGGUGAAAUGCGUAGAGAUCGGGAGGAAUACCAGUGGCGAAGGCGGCCUUCUGGACUGACACUGACGCUGAGGUGCGAAAGCGUGGGUAGCAAACAGGAUUAGAUACCCCUGUAGUC
rnacentral:rRNA from 1 species